CUAUUAUUUUAACAGACUUAAAAUACUAUCUUUUAUUUACAAAAUUAUCACCGCACAUUUUUUAAGUUUGAGUUAUCUUUAACAUAUUUUAAAACCUAAUUUUAACUAGUGAUAUAUAUAUAUAUAUAUAUAUAUAUGGGGUUUGUUAACACGCGUACGCCUAUUUUUCAGUUGGUACGUUUUAACAAUGUGUACCGGAUUAUAGUAGACAAAAAUACCCUCAUUUAUUAAGGAUUCUAAGUUUUAAGGUCAAGGAUAUUUAAAUAAUUUUCAUUCUCAAAACUAAAAAAAAAAAAAACCCAAACCCUUACUCACUUCCAUCAUUCCUCUCAAUCCUUUCUCUUUCAUCUCUCUCAAUCCUUUCUCUUUCAUCUCUCUCACUCCAACACAUUUUCUCUGUCAUCCUUAUUGCCCCCAAUUGAAAAAAAAUAAAAUCAGAAACCCUUGCCUAACCCUUGUCCUUUUCCCUUUACACAAAGUGUUUCUUUUUCCUUUCUCUAUUAGUAUGGAAUACAUGAUAUAAGAUUACAACCUAGAAUUGAAAGAAUUGUACUCCUAGGGAACUCUUCUAUACCUAUUUCUUUAAUUUCCUUAUGUCCCUUUUUUUAUCACUGAAUCAACUUCUACAGGUGUUUAGAAUAAACUUUAACCACGGUUUACCUUUGAGAUUUGGAAAGAGUAACGUAAAAUGACAAAGUUUAUAUUCAUUUUACACACAUUAAUAAAUAUAAAAUGAUUAUAAAAGAGUAAACUUUUUCAAUUUUUUAAAAAUAUCUCUAAUUCAAAUGACCAUCACCAUCUUCAAUUGAGUUGAGACGAAAAAAAAAAUGUUGGAGUGAUGACAGAGAAAAUGUUGAGAUGAGAGAGAAAAUAUCUCUCAUGACAAAGGGUUUCUGAUUUUUUUUUCAAUUGGGCAACAGUAGGGAUGACAGAGAAAAUGUUGGAGUGAGAGAGAUGAAAAAGAAAAUGUUGGAGUGGGAGAGAUGAAAGAGAAAGGAUUGAGAGGAAUGAGGAAGGUGAGUAAGGGUUUGGGGGUUUCUUUUUUUUUAGUUUUGAGAAUGAAAAUUAUUUAAAUAUCCUUGACCUUAAAACUUAGAAUCCAUGAUAAAUGAGGGUAUUUUUGUCUACUAUAAUCUGGUACACAUUGUUAAAACGUACCAACUGAAAAACAAGCGUACGCGUGUUAACAAACCCC
rnacentral:lncRNA from 1 species